rnacentral:rRNA from 1 species
CGAACGCUGGCGGCGUGCUUAACACAUGCAAAUCGAACGGCAAGGCCCUGCUUUUGUGGGGUGCUCGAGUGGCGAACGGGUGAGUAACACGUGAGUAACCUGCCCUUGACUUUGGGAUAACUUCAGGAAACUGGGGCUAAUACCGGAUAGGAGCUCCUGCUGCAUGGUGGGGGUUGGAAAGUUUCGGCGGUUGGGGAUGGACUCGCGGCUUAUCAGCUUGUUGGUGGGGUAGUGGCUUACCAAGGCUUUGACGGGUAGCCGGCCUGAGAGGGUGACCGGCCACAUUGGGACUGAGAUACGGCCCAGACUCCUACGGGAGGCAGCAGUGGGGAAUAUUGCACAAUGGGCGGAAGCCUGAUGCAGCAACGCCGCGUGCGGGAUGACGGCCUUCGGGUUGUAAACCGCUUUCGCCUGUGACGAAGCGUGAGUGACGGUAAUGGGUAAAGAAGCACCGGCUAACUACGUG